GAUGAAGAACGUAGCGAAAUGCGAUAAGUAAUGUGAAUUGCAGAAUUCAGUGAAUCAUCGAAUCUUUGAACGCACAUUGCGCCCCUUGGUAUUCCGAGGGGCAUGCCUGUUCGAGCGUCAUUAUAACCCCUCAAGCUCAGCUUGGUGUUGGGGCCUGCUGCACUGGCAGCCCUUAAAAUCAGUGGCGGCGCCAUCUGGCUCUAAGCGUAGUAAUUCUUCUCGCUAUGAGUCCUGGUGGAUGCUUGCCAUCAACCCCCAAUUUUUCUAUGGUUGACCUCGGAUCAGGUAGGGAUACCCGCUGAACUUAAGCAUAUCAAUAAGCGGAGGA
rnacentral:misc_RNA from 1 species